AUUUGCUGAAACUCAGGAACUGUGUGCCUAAAAUUUUGUUUUAUGUUGCUUCUGUCUCACAGGUUGGUUGUACAACUGGAGAACAGCUUCCAAAUUAAAAACAAAAAAUAUUCAGAGUAAUGCCCUCGAGACUGACAGCUUUGAAAGGCCUCCCCAACCACUCUCGGCCCGAUCUGGAUGCUGGCCCUGCUAGACUGCAGCUGGAAUUUCUCACUAAGUGGUCAGUGAAACUGAUUUCAUGGAUGUUUCAUGAUUUACAAAGUGAAAAGGAACUGAAGGGAGGGAACGGCCAGCCAGGCAGGCGGGGUGGUCAGGUCAGCCAAGCAGUAUCCUGGUUCCCAUAUGCUGUGGUUCUCCCCUCCACGCCCCUUCUCCCUGCAGCUCCUCUGGGCUGGGGCCCUGUGACUGCUGAGAAAAUCUGCUCGGGAGGCGCCAGCACAGUGAACCAGAGGGCCAGAGGGUUUUGA
rnacentral:lncRNA from 1 species